rnacentral:rRNA from 1 species
AGGGUUUGAUUAUGGCUCAGAACGUACGCUAGCGGUGUGGAUUAGGCAUGCAAGUCGUGCGCGAAAGCCUUCGGGCGAGUAAAGCGGCGAAAGGGUGAGUAACACGUAACCAACGUACCCCUCAGAUCGGAAUAACCUCUGGAAACGGUGGGUAAUGCCGAAUGGUCCCAGGAGAGACAUCUCUCCGAGGGUAAACGGUGCCUUCGGGUGCUGCUGAGGGAGCGGGUUGCGGCCUAUCAGUUUGUUGGUGGGGUAACGGCCUACCAAGACGAUGACGGGUAGCGGGUCUGAGAGGAUGAUCCGUCACACUGGGACUGAGACACUGCCCAGACUCCUACGGGAGGCUGCAGUCGAGAAUCUUCCACAAUGGGCGAAAGCCUGAUGGAGCGACACCGCGUGCAGGAUGAAGGCCUUAGGGUUGUAAACUGCUGUCACGCUAUAGGAACCCAUGGUCGUUAAUAGCGGCCGUGCUGACCAAAGCGAGAGGAAGCGCCGGCUAACUCCGUGCCAGCAGCCGCGGUAAUACGGAGGGCGCAAGCGUAGUUCGGAUUUACUGGGCAUAAAGAGCACGUAGGCGGCUCGCUCAGUCAGGUGUGAAAGCCCACGGCUCAACCGUGGAACUGCACCUGAUACUGGCGAGCUUGAGGACGGAAGGGGUGAGUGGAACUCCAGGUGGAACGGUGAAAUGUAUAGAUAUCUGGAGGAACACCGGUGGCGAAAGCGGCUCACUGGUCCGUCUCUGACGCUGAGGUGCGAAAGCUAGGGUAGCGAACGGGAUUAGAUACCCCGGUAGUCCUAGCCGUAAACGAUGGGCACUAGGCAAUGGGCCCUCCUAUGAGGUUCAUUGCCGGAGCUAAUGUGUUAAGUGCCCCGCCUGGGGAGUACGCUCGC